GUUCUUGUAUAAAUAAAGAGACAUCUCUCUUUAGCAAAGGGGAUCUCUUCUCCCAUUUUACACAUUAAACACUUCUUACAAAAAAUUUAUAGAUUUAGAUUUACUUGAUCACUCUUGUAAUACAAUCUUUGAUGUAUAAAUUCUUUUUGAUGUUCAUUUCUCGUUUGAUUCUUCAAGAUUUCUCCUAAAACUCAAGAAUUUAAGAAAUCUAUUUCUUAAAUUUUUCAUUAUAUGAAUCCGACAAACACAUUUUUUUCGGUUCAAACAGUUGGCGCUAGAAGGAGGGGGCUAGAGAGAACUAUGUUGAAAUCAUAUCAAUCUUGGGAUAAUCUAGAUCUAUGAUCACUUUGGUUUCUUAAAAAAAAAAAAAAAAAAAAAAUUCUCAUCUUCUACUUUGCAUUCCUCUUGCAGAAGGAGAGCUUGGCAACUGCUAUUCUGUUCCUCGUCUCGAAAAGGUUCGACCUUUCGACCCAUAAAUCAAAUCAGAGAUGAGAUAUGGCGAUUGAUGCUUCUCAGACGACGGAGCCACACACGAACAAGGGCGAUCUGCUCCAAGCCUCCAAGUCAUCGUAUCCAAUGGCGAAGAACCUAAGCGACGGAGACAUUCUGCCGUCUGGCGUCUGUACAGUCGUACGAGCUUGCGGCCUCUGUUUCCUUUUGCUCGGAAAGAUUGCAAAAAAGCUGAGUACUUUAUCUGACGUCAACGGCGAUCUCGUGAUGCUUCCGUCUCGGUCCGCCGGUGAACUUUUGGGACUGCUCGAGCUUAUUUCCAGUCCGUGAAACACGAUCUACCCAGACGUGUUGCGAUGAACUGGGUCUUUCGAGGUCAAGCGAGAGUCGUGAAGAACACGAGGACAGAGAGAGACGUGAAGAAGUCAAAGCCAUCGAUCUCGCCGUCUCGUCAAAGCUUAAGACUUGAUCUCUGGAAGCCUCGCCAUCUCAACGAAACUGAAGACUUGAUCUCUAGAAAUCUCAAAACUUUAUCUCGUCACAAGCUCGACUCUUUUUCCUUCCAUUAGUCGAAACAGAUCAAUAGCUUGCAGAGCUUUUUCAUUCUCAGUAUAAGCUCUGAUGUAUCUCUGGCGAUUCUUAAGUGGUGUGACGAUGUUCGGAUCGAGACUUCAAUGCUCUCAUCUCCGUCAACAGCAUCACGUUGCCGAGAUUAGUUCAUAGGAUGAGGCUUCCACUAACGGCAACGUCUCCAAGCUCCCCGCAAGUUAUAACAGAGACCACAUGAUCUGUCUCAUCGACAAUCACCGUCUAGUUUCCGAACGAUCUCAGCAAAGGCGCUAAGCUCGGAUCUGUCUGGAUCAUGCCACGACUAGAGAGAAAGAGGUUUGGUAGCUGAAGAAGCGAAUUUCGAGUGCUUUGUUGUUAACAUAUGAGCCUGUAUCACCUCAAGCUCUGUCACUGCCCCUCUCUCUAUGCCUCCAUCUCGUGGUUUCAGAGAUUCCUCUCAGUUCCAUGCUCGUGGUUGGUGAGAACGCCUCCCUAUACUCUUUCAACUCGUCAAAGUGUGCGCUUCUCCACCGCCACGUCUCGAGUUUAAUCACGUGCCGGACUCAGCCUGUGUUUAAUCUCGGUUUUCAACCUUCAUAUGAUAUCUUCCUCCUAAGGACGCAAACAUCAUAGCAUAGAGCUCUUGCUUCUUCACCAAGCAAGCUCUACCAAUGACAAGAUAAGUUCUUUUUUUUUUCUAAACAUCACAUACACGUGUUACCUUAGACUUGUAGCUUUGGUUUAAAUAAUUAAGCAACUCUAAGCUGCUCGUCCUCGUCUUCACUUCACUUAAUUGAAUUUGUCAUCGUUAUGAAACAGUAUUUGUUAUUACUAUUAUGAUGAUAAAUUUACUAAUUAAAUUCUCGCCAUCAUCGAACGAGCCUUCGAACUUGUAUUAUUUGCAGAUCGAAGUCAACGUCACGUCACGUCAAUGACGACAUCACGACGGUCACGAUGGGUACUUUGAGGAAGUAAAAAACAUCAGUCUGCUUCUCUACGAUCCUGCUCAACUCCACAAGAUCGUUUGAGUUCGGUAACUCACCCUAGGUUCAUCACUAGUACACCUAAGGCAUUGCAAAGUUCUGCAAAGGCCUUUUGAAGCUGCUGAAUCUUGGAUGAUGUUGAGUCUAUGAGCGAAGCAAAUGGCCUGGUGUCUUCCAUCAGGAAAGAGCUGAGAAAAUCAGAUGAAGUAAUCACCAAAAGAAGAGAUCAAGAAGCAGCGGAACAUGGUUGAUCCAUCUUGAGAAAUCGAGAGAAGAGGAACUUCUCGCUUGGUCUCAUGACUAUCUUCUUCGGCUUCUUGCCUCCGAGGUACUACUCUUUGAUCGCGUCGAGCACCUUCUCGUGCUCUCGCUCGACUAGCUUCUCGGCACGCACUUUCUCCUUGGUCUUGUUACUGAUGUUUCCGGCUAGAGACACGUCAGCGCAUCAGUGAGAUCACGGCAGUCUAGUUUUGAUCUCUGCAAACAUCGUACAUGCCGACUGCACCAGUCACGGCAACAUGCGCAUCAACGAGAUGAAUCGACGCCCCGACUCCACCAUUCCAUCUACACAUGGAUCGCAACAACACCGCGAAGACAUGUCCACCAUGGUGAUUUGAUUGUGACGAUUCGUCCAUAGUGGUACGUUCAUGAUGAUGUCUAUAGCGACAUGUUCUUGGCAGUUAGUCGAUUGACACUUCAUCCAUGGCAACUAGCUCCGGUGGUUCAGAACACUGUUUUCACAGAUCGUUCGCGCAACCAUCCCGGAGUAAGAAGUCUGAUCGGAAUCAGAAGUAUGUCGAUGACAGCUCGCCCGAGACGGUUCGUCUAUGACACUUCAUUUAUGGCAACCUAACCAUGACGGCCCGUUCAUGACAUUCAUCUGAGACAUGGGGUUGAACCGGACCCCCAAAGAGCAGAGAGAGUUCGCGAGCUAGUGCGUGUGGACAGGUUGGGUCGCAAAUCGGGAACGAGCUGAAGCUAGUCAGAUCGCUAUCGGGUCGCUAUCGUCUCGCUGGAUCGUGCAGGCUGGACGGAUUGCUACCCGGUUGCUAUGCAGCUGAGCUGGUUGUUAUCGGCCGCUUGUCGGAUCGUUGAACUGAUCAAAUCGGAUGAAGAAGAAAAAAAACAACCGAGAGAGAAAAGGAAACAAGGUUUCUGUCGGCUGGGAUUUUAGGGUUUAUGGGUUUCGGAUUUAGCUUAGGGUUUUAGGGACUAUCGUGCUGAUAACGUGUUAUAAAAUAAGGAAGAUGAAAGGAUUUGAAUCUCUUUAUAUUAUUCAUUCAUAGAGGUUCCUUUAUAUACAAGAAUAGACCGUCAUAGAUAAAUGGAAAUCCAUAGUAAUACGGAAAUCCUAAACAUACUAGGAAAAGGAAAACCUAAGUACGUAAGUAAAAGGAAAGUCGGUCAAAUAUAAUGGAAAGCUUUCAGCCGCCUUUGGACAUGUGGUACAGGCCGGAUGUGCCGGUUCUGGUUAGAUUGGAUCAGGCCGGUUAUGGCUCGUCCACAUAAGGAUUUAUAACAUUUGGUAAUUAUUUAUAAUUACUACUUAUUUUAUUUCUCAUAGUAUUAUGUUUGACUAAAAUAAACGAAAAUAUGACUUGGAUUUUAUUUGGAUUUGUUUCUUUUUUCUCUCUUCUAUUUAUUUUAUUAUAAUAAUUUAUUAUAUUGAAUAAUUUAUUAUCAUUAUCUACAUAUAACAUAUGAUAGUCAAUCCUUUAAAAUAGUCGAUUAAAUAUCUAAUCUAUUAAUUUAGAAUUUUAUUUGAAAUUUAAUGUGACAUAUUUCAAAUUUGAACCUAUUAAACAUGUUGUGACUAAAUAUAAAAUUUUGUUUUAUAUACAAUUUUAUAUAAUAACCAAUAUAUUUAAAUGAAACUUAACCUACAAUUAUACCAUGACAUUAUCGAUAUUCUUACUUGUUAUCUCAUCGUCAUGUCCCAGCGAAGAACCCCAAAGCCAUAUCUAAUCAAUUAAUAGAUCGCUUGACAGCUGAAAUUUCUUAUAAGACACUGGUCUACUUGCUUCUCUUAAGUGGACGACCAUAAUCGAAUGAUUUCUUAUUUGGCCCCGUUUCAUCAUACUGACAAUUCAAAAGAAUUCCAGACCUACAUUUGGUUUAAUAAUUAACCAUUACAUUUUUGUAUUUAAUAUUUUAAUAUUUAAAUUCAAUAUAUUUGAAUAUAUAUUUAAUCUAUUAAUUUAGAUUCAUAUUUGAAAUUUACUAUGACAUAUUUUAAAUUUGAACCUGCUGAACUUGUUGUGACUAAAUAUAAAAUUUGCUUUAUAUACAAUUUUCUAUUAUAAUUGAUAUAUUUAAACCAACCUACAAUUAUACCAUGACAUCUAUAUAUAUAUAUAAAGUAGACUUUUUUUUGACAUGUGGAAGAAGGAUUUAAUGACAUGUGUCCACAUAUUUUUUCUUUAAAUAUUUUAGGUCAUUUUUCUUAUAGAUUAAUGCAAUUUAGCCCAUCAUUUUCUAAUUGUGUACUAUCUAAUAUUUUUUAACUAACCACUAUCACAUAAAAUCCAAUAAUCUAUUUUAUUGGUCAUUAAAAUUCAAGAUGGAUAAAGAAAUAUGUAAAAUAAUAUAUCCAAUGCUAAAAAUAACAUAAAUUUUCAUAUUUUUUUUUACUAUUUUCUAAUAAAUUAUAUAUUUAUUUUACUCUUCAAAAUUAUAAAAUAACCAGAUUAAGAAGAAGUUAGAGCAAAACACAUAAUCUAAAACUAAAACCUCUACAUUCACAAAGAAAACUGAAAUGCCAUAGUAACACUAACUCAAUAAAUGUUCGGCGCUGAAAGAAAAUCAAGAACGAAGACUAACUUACUUUACCUUAGCAUAGAGUAUCUUGGCCAGAACAAGCAGAGGUUAGCAAAUGGUAGAAAUAUAAAAUCUGAAACAAAGCAAUCACAGAACACAAAGGAGCACAAUCAAGCAAAACUUUAAAGGAUCAAGAAAGCAUGCCAGAGGAAGAAUAAUCACCGGAAAGCCAAAGUCACCACAAAACAGAAAGACACAUACCUAAAUCACUGGAAGCACAGCCACCAGCUAAGAGGUGGGAAGCACCUCACAAACUAAACAAGCAUAGACAAGGUGCUCAUGCCAACAAAGAACCACAAAGCUCUGUAUAUAAGGGAAUAAAGCUCUAGAAGAUUAACUUCGUACACCUAUACCAAGGGAAGGAGAUGAAGAAGAGAAACAACCUGAGGGAGGGAGAAUGGAAGGUAAGAACCGAGAAACCAGAUCCUAAGCUUAAGACCAGAAACAACUUUCUAAACCCACAUAGCAUUACACGAGGAAAUCACUAUCCAGACCUGGACUGGCAAAUAUGUCAAAAGAGAGAGCCACCAGAGAUGCGAUCAGUGAUGAAAGUUGCAACGAGGUGAGAGAACAUAAAGGGAAGGGGAGACGGAAAAAAAUCAGCAAACCAUUGAACCGUACUCGAGCAAUGAAAGAGAGCAUAGAGUUAGAUCACCAAACACGGAUCCUGAAAAGCAAGACGAGCAGGGACUAUCGACGGCAAACCAACGACGAGGAAGACAACAUCAAAGACGACUAAACUCUGUUCCAACCCAAGGAGAUGCAGCUCCUAACAUAAGCCAAAAUCUGAAGAAGAAGAGGAGCACCAAUAUUGACCAAAACAAUUUACAAUGCUGUGAGAAACAAUCGCACAACUGAGAAAUCAUAAAUCCGAUCUACAACAAAUACUAGAUAAUUUCAUAUGAGAAGAAGGCGAAGAAGAACAACAGCACGGAUGUGAGUCUUUUUCUGUGAUGGUUAGAAACACCGCCCACCGGAAAGGUAAAUGAUAUACAUAGAUGGUGACAGCUCAAGGUCAAAAUAUGGGGAGAGAGCACAAAACAUCUUAAAAGAAUAAUAUUCCAAAAUAUGAAAAAAAAAAAAAAUACAAUUUUGCAGUUGAAACUGUUAAUUUUAAAAUCGACAAAUUUUUAAAUGCAGAGUUACUGAAAUUCAAUAUGCUUUACAUCAGAUACUCACUUCACCACUAACAAAUACUACUAUAAACACAACAACACAUUAUUGAAAAAAUAAACACAUAAUUUAUUAACCUAUCACCUACUAGUACUACUACUAAAUAACACAAUAAAAAUACUAAAUAAUGAUCUGAACAAAUAUAGACUACCAUAUAAUUGCGUCAUCCAAAAAAUUAUGCUUAAAAACAAUGAAACAAUAUUCCGCGUCAAGCGCGGACACACACUCGUAGUUAUCAAUAUACUUACCUAUUAUCUCAUCGUCAUGUCCCAGCGAAAAAUCCCAAAGCCAUAUCCGAUCUAUUAAUCGAUCGCUUGACAACUGACCAUUCUUAUAAGACACUGGUCUACUUGCUUCUUUUCAGUUGACGACCUGACGACCUGCAACUGACACACCAUAAUCGAAUGAUUUCUUAUUUGGCCCUGUUUCAUCAUACUGAAAAUUCAAACAGUUACAGACCUACGUUUGGUUUAAUGUACUUUUUUUGUAUUUAGUAUUUUCAGAUUUGAAUUCAAUAUAUUUGAAUACAAUAUAUUGGGAUUAUUUCAAACAAAAUAUCGCGUUUAUUGAUACUUGAUUUACAUUUCAAAGUUAAAUAUGUAGAACUACAAGCUUUUUGACUAAAAACAAUCAAAUCUAUUUUAAAAAUCUUAAAAUGCCUUUUAGAAAUCAAAUCGUAACCAAGUUUAGGAAUAUUUUCCAAAAUCCUUAACUUUAUCUUUUAUAUGGUCAAAUCGUAAACAAGUUUGGGAAUAUUUUCCAAAAUUGGAAAAGGUUUUUUCGGAUCAAACUGAAGCAAAUUUAUAUCAAUAUGUAAAGAGUUCAAAUAAAAUCACAUGAUUGAAAAUAACGAGUCUGUUGACAAAAAAAAGAAGAAGAAAAUAACGAGUCUUACUUUUAAUCAUCAUCGAUGCCUCAAAAAACACAUACUCAUGUUUGAAUGUAUGAUUUGUUGAAAACAAAGUGAAAGUUCUUAAGAAAAAAUCGUGUAACACACAAUUAGGUUUAUAAACAUAUUAGGCUGUUGCCGAGCCGAUUUUAGCAAUACACAAACUUCAAAUAACCGAAUUGAACAUCUAAUCUUAUAAAAUAGAACUUCAAUAAAUUUUUUAUAGGUUUUCUAAAUAAAAUAAAAAAGCAUUACCCGCAUUUUAACGCGGACCGUAUUCUAGUAUCGUCUUAUAGAAGAUCUAAUCACGAGUAGUCUCAAUCCCAGCUUGUCCAUGUUAGAGUUUAUUAUUAUAUAUUCUUGAUUUCUAAUAUAUGAUAUGUGGUUAUAUGUUCUUAUAGUAAUGAAUAAUUUAGUAACAUUAUCCAAUUCUACAAGCUAAUGAAUUCGAUAAUUAUUUUUCAACAUCUCUUGGUUUACAGAUUGCUAUGUGAUGUGAAUGGAUCACUUAUGCCUCACACCGACAUCAACAAUCAAAUUAUCAAUAUCUUAAGAAUUGUUCGUGAUCAUAAAUAUUUUUGGUUGUUUUUAAUAACUUUGGAAAUCCCAAAAAUUUUCUAAGCCCAAAGUCUAAUCUCACGGGAUCUUGCAUAUACGCAACUAAUCAAUCUAAAUGACAUGGUUAGAUGGCCAAGGCGAAUCGAACUCAUGUUGAAAGUUCAGCUGGAACAGCUUUAGCACUAGUCCAAGAUGACUUGGUUAAUUAUUUUGGGUUUACUUUGACCUUUUUAUUAACAAUUUUGAUAUUAUAAACCAAAAUCAGUUUAUUACUAUCUAUGUAUUUCAUUAUUUACUUUUACAAAUCCAUGUAAAUAUGUUCAUAUUAGAUUAAUGCUAUUGUGUCAUUGAUAUGUAUCUAACUUUGGCAAAAAAACAUUGAUAAGUAUAUAUAUGUAAUAUGUGUGUCAAUAGCUUAUGUAAAUAUUCCCUAUAUCUUAAUAAAGAAUUAUUUUAAAAAUUGUAACAGUAUUAAUUACAAAAGAAGUUUUCUGAUGUGUCAUUUAAUUAAGAUGUCAAUUUAUAUUAAAUGGUGGCUUAAGAAUCAAUUGAAAAUUUUAUUAGUCCAAAAUCGAUUUAAUUAUAUUCGGCUAGGGACAUUAACAUAUACGACCAUGAAAUAGCCAUCAUUUGUUUUUACCAUGUUACAUUAAUACUAGCAGUUUAUUAAUCACACAGAACCUUAGACCAACAAUAUUUUUCGACGGAACUAAAAAGUCUUCUCAUACAAUUUGAUAAAAUUUAUCUGUACGACCCACUACCUUAUACUGAACCAGAAUAAUAAUUUUAUAUAGAUACAAGUCACUACAAAAUUUCAAAAAGAAAUCAUGACAGAAUUUCAUAAUAAUAUUGUUCUCUUAUGAAUUUCGUAUAACUAUAAUAAUAAUUUUUUUUGUUAAGAUAGUUAUACGUUGUAAUGCUCAAAAAUAUUUUGUUCAACUAUUUUAUUAUUCUGUAUGAGUUGCAGUGUUAUGGAUUGAACAAUAUUUUGUUAGUUUUGAAUUGUAUGUUGGCGAAUGUCCAAAAUAUAUGUUUGAAUAUAAGGGUGAUGGUGCAACGCCAAAAAGCAACAUGUAAAUCUUAGGGACAAAUCAUAUAUGUUUAAAUCGUUUUGAAUUCUAUGUAAUUGUAGUUCGUCUUGAGAUGAGUUCAUUUCAUUUAUAUAAAGACUAUUCCGUAUGAGUCUAUAAUCUAAUACAUUUGUAUUAUUUUUUGUCAAUAAUACAUUUGUAGUUGGUUAAUCAAUUUUAUUUGAUUAUUUAAAUAUUUGUUAUAAUGUACCAAAUAAAAUAAUGGUCCAUCGAUAGAAGUCAAAUCGGUACGUGAUAAUGAUAUACUAGUUGAUUUCAAAUCUGUAUUUGGUAAUACUAGAUCUGCCAACAGCGCGAGUGUUUUCACUUAUCUUUAUAUAUAAAAGAUAGUUUGCUCUCUCCUGGUGAAGCCACCUCAACAUCCAAAUCACAAAUCCGUGCUAUGUGGUGCUGACACGUGUCACUUUAAAAAAAAAAAAAAACUGAUUAAAAGACUUUGGACUUCGACUAUUUUUUUUUAUUUCACGAUUUUGUUCAAAGGUCAUAUGGGCCCUUCAAUAUAUUCAAGUUAAUUCAGCCCAAAGUCUUAAUUGAAACCUAAAAGCAAGAUGUGUUCACGCCGUCGUCUUCCUCGAACAUCUUCGCUUUGAGACUGUGAUCAAGUUAGUCGCUCAUAGAGGUUGUUCAAGUUUCAUAAACUCUACCGUCUGCAAUCAUGGAGAUAAUUACUUUCGUUACGUUUCUAUGUCUAUGUCGGCGUCGUUUUGUUUUUGAUUCAUUUCUUUUUAGGCUUUAAAACAUGUGUUGAUUCAUCGUCAUUAAUGAAGUCUUAACUAUUUCGAUCCACUGGAUCCACGAUUACACAUUCAAUGGUUCUUAUCCCUCUUCCUAGCGGUGGAUCUCCCAUUAUAAAAAGGUGCGGCUGCUCAGAAACUGAAAAUCGCAACGCUGUGACGAGUUGAUGGGAGUUGACAUAAUCCUCUUCGAUGAUAAGUCGACACUCAUGCUAGCCACCGUAAUGUCAACCGUCUUGACACCUUCCGGCACCACCGUCUCAAGGCGGGUACUCUGUUCACUGUUAGCGGAUUUGAGGACGUCUCAACCGUCUCACCACCUUUCACUCUAACCUCGCUCUCCUCCCUCCUCUCGAGAUCUUGCUCAUCAUGGUCAAUCUCUCUUCUUCAUCUUAUGAUUUGAAUCAGCUUUGAAACUGAACUUUGGUAUUGGAUUACAGAUUGUGGAGUUUUAGUUCCUCUACGGAAUUAAAUUGUCUCCUUGAUGUUAUGUAUGUUGUUUGAUUGUCAGUAAAGUCUAAAUGGUGUGUCUUUUUAACAUAGAAAAUUUAGAUCUUGGAUUUUUUGGGUUUAACCACAAGCGCAACAUUGUUCUAUAGCUAUGUUUGAGAGAGAUUUAGUGUGUAUCCAUGUGUUUUCGAUGCAAAAAACAUUAUUUUUUGCUAUUUAUCUGUGUUUAGAUAGUGGAGCAUUACGUGGCUCUAAGGUUUGAGUAUUGUUGGGUACUUUCACACUAACAAGAGGUUUGAUGAUGUGGAGCUUUGUGGUGAUCACUUCUCUCGCUAUUUUCCUUCCUCACCAAUUCUCUUGGUAAAAUUUUGUAUCCUUUGCACUCAGGUACAUCAGUUGAUUGAAGCACUAACUAGGUAACCAUCUUAUGCUCUUUUAUUUUUGAACAACAAAAAUCUUGAAGCCUUAUCAAAUGGUAAAAAUCGAAGGCAUGUGAUGCAGGUUGGUAUUUUAAGGACAAGGUUUUGGACAGCUUAAUAUAGCCCUUUUUUUUUUGUUCUCAUACAACUUUUUUGUGUACAGACAACUUAGUAUAGCUUGGAAAUGAAAUUUAGAAUUAGCCAAUUAUGUAAGGAAUAUUUAUAUAUAAAGGUCACUCUACACAAGUAUAUUGUUAUUGCUAUAUAAGAAAUAUACUGUUAAUAGUAUAGGAAGUUUUAGAAGCUCGAAUUCUUUUAGUAUUUGCAUUCAUUAUUUUUAUUGCAUCAUGCACAAAUGCUGUCAAUGUAAAGAUAUAAAACAUAACUAAACUGUCUACUUGAAUUGUGUGCGCAACCGUCUUGACACCAAGCUCAUAUUGUUUCUUUUUUUUUUACUUUCUAUUUGGUGCAAUUUAAUUUUGUUGCUGUUAAUGUCAAUUAUUUCAAUUUUUUUGUUUUUUUUCUAUAUUACAUGAUAGCUUUGUGUGAAAGAUGCUUCUGAUAACUGGAAAAUGGUUGGAACAGAUGUAGGAAACAAACUAUUCUUGAAAGAGCCAUCAGCCAAAGUUGUGACAUAUUUUGUCAGAUUACAUUUGAUUAUGUCUCCAAGUAAGCUAUAAUAUAUACACGACCUGAAGAUGAAAAUACAUGGAAGACAUGAAGUGCUUUCUCUAUAUUUCUCUAACGAGCAAGAAUUUCUAUAUUUCUCUAGCGUGCAAGAAUAUUUUUUCCCUACAAAUAAUAGGAAUCCUAAAUAAUAAUUUUGGGAACUUUUUCUAAUAUUAGAUCAUUAUCCCCUAUAUAUUAUUUGUGAAACAUUACAACUUCUUUUUGUAGCCACGUGUCAUUACUAAGAUGAUUCUUAGAAUUAUUAGAGAAAUAUAUUGGUCCAUCUAAUUAUAUUAUAAGCUUUUUAUUA